rnacentral:misc_RNA from 1 species
GCAAGGAUAACAAGCAUCAAAAGAAUCACAACUUAGAACAGUUCAACCCAUUUUCCUUCUCGCCAAUCAAGCAGAAUAUAGGAUAAGAAGCAAGCAGUGACUAUAUGUAUACAUAAACUUGCAUCUACACAACCAUGGAGUUGUACUUGGUUUCUAUCGAGUCUUGAGCAUCCAAGAAGCUAUCAUUCCCAUUCAAUGGUUGAUGGAGGCUUUGAUGUGAUGUCUUGAACAACUCGGUUUACACCCCUUACACUAUUACAAAUUUUUCGAGCCACAUCAUCAAGGAACUUAUGUUCAAAAUAGUACCAAUCUGCAGUCAUUCCAUCUUGACUUGUAACAGCUCUUAAAGCAACAACAUGAGAAUGUGUUCUUUGAUCACCUUGAACUCCAACAGAUCUUACAGGCAAAAACACUGCAAAAGCUUGCCAUAUUGAAUCAUAGAGCCCCGCAUCCUUGAUGGAUUGGAUGAAAAUCUCAUCGACCUGACGCAGGAUAUCUAAAGCAUUGCCUUCAGUUACAUCACCCAAGACUCGUACUGCAAGGCCAGGACCAGGAAACGGAUGGCGCUUCAAAAAUGCCUCAGGGACAUUCAAGAUCCUUCCUAGUUGACGAACCUCAUCCUUAAAUAGAAGUUUAAGUGGUUCUAUGAGCUUCAAUUUCAUGUCCUUUGGAAGCCCUCCAACAUUAUGAUGGCUUUUGAUUGUGUGUGAGUGGUUUCUUCCAGAUCCAGGAGGCGGGCAAGAUUCAAUCACAUCUGGAUACAAGGUUCCUUGGACCAGGUAAGCAGGUUUCUUUCCCAACUUUUUCUCCAAAUCAUGGGCAAAAACAUCAAAAAUGCUAAUGAACUCCUUUCCAAUUAUCUUCCUUUUCGUCUCAGGAUCUAUUACACCUUUCAGCUUGCUAAGAAAUUGCUCUGAAG